UCCUUUAAGCAGAUACAAUAGCCCUGGAAGGCCCCUGGGAUCAUCGUUAACACAGCGUAGCCAUCACAGGUUCAAAGAUCCUCAGAUCCCGAAGAACUAAAGGCAUCUCCCAGAGUGACAAAUUAUACGCCAAAGAUGUUCAACAGAAAAGACAAGGGUCUCAGCAUCCUGGAUCUCUGAGCGGAAUGUGACCAUGGUUAUGGCUCACACUGACAAACGCUGGUUUGCAAUCAAAUGAGAAGACGUGUCUGAAUAGCUUUCCCUUUGUCUCUUGUUAUAGGAUUUAGUCUUACUUAACGUCCUUUCGGAUCCUGAUAAUCCUGUAUUUUAACUGGAUCUGUGCUACUAAAGGGAUAUCUGACGUCUUUUAUUUCAAAUCUGCCUCUAGAUUUCAACUUCCAAAAUCUCACCACGCCUCAGAGAAACUGACCUAAGAAAGGAUUCAUCUUAUGCAAUUGCAGCAACAGGUAUAGAUUUAUAUAUAACAGGACAGAGCUCCUACUACAAGUCACAUUGUGUCAUUCUAGUGUCUCUUCCUGAGUGUUUUAAAACCGCUUCAUGUGGAACUCCGACAAGCAAAAUAAAAGGAAGAAGUAGGUAAGUAACGCCUGUCUGGAAGCACUCUGUGACUGCCAUCUAUAAUUUGCUCCUUUCAUCCUGAAGUCUGACCAAAUCCAAGCUGAUUUACCAGAUUGAGAAAAAAAACUUUUACUCUGAACGAGACAUUUGAACCGGAAAAGGCGAUGCGAUAUGUGUGGACUUUGAAAUUGUGUGGUUAUUGAGAGGAGAGUGUGAAUGUAGGCAAGUGGAAGGUACCUGGCGUCACGGGUAGUGCCUUUUCCCAGUUCUGCCGUGAACUAACAAGGGUAUCUUGAGCAAAUCAACACUCAACCGCCUGCCCAUCCUCUACAGAAUGACUGUGUUUCUCAACUUACAGGGAGGGUCAGAUACAAUAAAUGUUAACCAGCUUAACA
ensembl:lncRNA